AGAGACAGAGACAGAGAGAGAGACAGAGAGAAGCAGAGAGACAGAGACAGAGGAAGAGACACAAAGAGAGAGACAGAGGGAGACAGACAGAGAGAGACACAACGGGAGAGACACGUGGUAGGGUGUGAAAUAGCCACCCCUGAUUAAAAAGUACACAGAAUAUUAGCAAAAUUUGCCUAUUGAUUAUUUUGUCCUAAGUUAUUCCGUGAUACAGUGCCAUUACAAUUCUCGUCUUGUUGGACAAAUUUCAAAGAAUGUAAGGGGUGUGUUUCUUUCGUUUAAGGAAGCAAACAUCUAGGAAGGGGUGGGCCUUUCCCACAGGAGCCGCAUUUCUUCCCCUGGAGAGCUGAAGCAAAUCUGUAGUAUGUGAGAGACUGGCCCAUAAGAAACAGAAUGAUUUGUAGUGAUCUGUUCUAGUUAGUGAGCAAAGCAAACCAGAAAGAGUUUUUCCUCUGAAAAACAGCUCCUGUCUGCCGCUUAAUACUCAGUGCUGAAAACGGACCAUAAAACAAAACAGAGCAAAGAAACAAAGAAAUCACAUUUAUAGUGUUUGUGCUCACAACUAUAUAGUACAUUGAGAUAAUUUUGACAACUUCACAUUGUGUAUAGCAUUAAGAUGUAGAAAUCAAACGUGUUAUACACAUACAUUUUCCAACCCCAUUGUGAGGCUAUGGAGGUAGCAUAUGACAAAGAAUGCUACAGUAAAAUAUAAGAAUACCGAAAGGACAAUCUGACAUGAUGUUAUUUCGUACUUUCUUGCUCUCACUGCACAAAGAAAAGGCAUAUUCAUGCUAAGAAAGGAGUUUCUAUUACCUGUUAUAUAAACCCAUGGUCUAGCCUCAUUGGCAAAACAAGUGACAUUUGCUUUCACUACAAUGUAUCUGCUAUACAUUUCUAUCCAAUCUCUGUUACUUGUUUUAUUUGAAAGUAUAGCUGGUAUAAACAAAAUUCAGAGUGCACAUAAAAAUAAUUUUCUGAGGGCAUUAUAUAGGAAAUCAGUGUCAUGACAAGAAAUAAAGGCAGUAAACUUAUUACAAAGAAAAUCUGUAGAAAUCAGUACUAUUUAAGAAGGGACACCUUUGAAAGACUUUAUUCAUUCUUAAUGCAAAAAAUUUGAAAUGAAUGGAGUAAUGGUGUUCAGCCUGCUUAUUGAAUGGCCGUGCAAGACUUCAAGCAAUGGUUUAAAUAAAGUCCCUUCAACUUGUGUGAGUGACUGGAGGAAGCGGGCUUUGAAGCAGUCCCUAGUGGGAACCUGAUUUUUUUUCAACUUAUCCUGAGAGUCUCUUGGUUUUCUUCCUGCAACUUGUAAUAGAUAAGAUAAAUAUGAAGAUGCGUACAUACGUUGUUUAUAGAUGCUGUGAAUUUCUAGCCUGUUGAAUUUUAAAAGUGUUAGAUAUGGUUCUUUGUUAGAGGAUGUAAACUGCUUAAAAGAAAAACAACCAAAACCAGCAUAUUUUUUAAUAUAUCUGUAAUCUUUUCAGCAAGCUAUAAUGAUAGCAAAAGAACACAACCAUUCCCCAAACCCCAAAUAUUGGCAUAUUUGGCUUAAAUUUGCUCAGUUUUUAUGAAAUUAGACAGCAGAUUUGUCAAUAUAAAUAUAAGGAAAUUUGCCUAGUAGGGUAAUAAAGUUGACUUUCAGUUCUUAGAUCAUAAUUAAUUGUUGACCCUGCAUAAGGUGUAUAACAAGCCAUUCUGGAAAGCUGAUGUUUUUAAUGGAACUUGAAGGCUUGGGAUCUCUUUAUAGUCAUUUUGAAGAUGUGGUUAUUUAGCUGAAAUAUUCACUGGACAUUUUAUUUUUAUAAAUCAUGGUCACACAAGGAAGGCUUUAUAGGACAGACUACCUAAUUGCAGUCAAGGAUCUCUUUAGUGAAUGAACACACACAGAAGAACACAUAUUUUAAGAAUAUAAUGGUCUUGUAUUUUUUUCAAAUUACCACACUUUUUAUAUCAGAACAAAACAUAUGUGUCAAGGCAGAUGUUUUAAGUUAUACCUUUCAUGUAGGUGAGUCUGUAAAUAUACAAUUCGACUUAAAUGGCUUUGUGGGAAGGUAGUUUGGGGAAUUUAAAAAGGAAGCUCUCAGUUACUGUGGUUUCAACUCUUUCUU
rnacentral:lncRNA from 1 species